rnacentral:rRNA from 1 species
GAUGAACGCUGGCGGCGUGCCUAAUACAUGCAAGUCGAGCGAACAGACGAGGAGCUUGCUCCUCUGACGUUAGCGGCGGACGGGUGAGUAACACGUGGAUAACCUACCUAUAAGACUGGGAUAACUUCGGGAAACCGGAGCUAAUACCGGAUAAUAUAUUGAACCGCGUGGUUCAAUAGUGAAAGACGGUUUUGCUGUCACUUAUAGAUGGAUCCGCGCCGCAUUAGCUAGUUGGUAAGGUAACAGCUUACCAAGGCAACGAUGCGUAGCCGACCUGAGAGGGUGAUCGGCCACACUGGAACUGAGACACGGUCCAGACUCCUACGGGAGGCAGCAGUAGGGAAUCUUCCGCAAUGGGCGAAAGCCUGACGGAGCAACGCCGCGUGAGUGAUGAAGGUCUUCGGAUCGUAAAACUCUGUUAUUAGGGAAGAACAAAUGUGUAAGUAACUAUGCACGUCUUGACGGUACCUAAUCAGAAAGCCACGGCUAACUACGUG